rnacentral:rRNA from 1 species
UACGGGGGGGGUAAGCGUUGUUCGGAAUUACUGGGCGUAAAGGGCUCGUAGGCGGCCAACUAAGUCAGACGUGAAAUCCCUCAGCUUAACUGGGGAACUGCGUCUGAUACUGGAUAGCUUGGAUUUGGGAGAGGAAUGCGGAAUUCCAGGUGUAGCGGUGAAAUGCGUAGAUAUCUGGAGGAACACCGGUGGCGAAGGCGGCAUUCUGGACCAAUAUUGACGCUGAGGAGCGAAAGCCAGGGGAGCAAACGGG